rnacentral:misc_RNA from 1 species
GCUCACUAUCGAACCGUUUUAGAAACAUUCAGGGGCCAACAGUUUCAGGAUUGUUGAGCUCCAUUGGCGGGAUUUCGCCGUCUUCGUUUCUCUUUCUUCGCGGACGAACACGCGCCAGGGGCUGAGCGCUGUGCGGUGCAUCGACUUCACGUCGGAUGCGCGCCGGCAUGUCUCUCGUGUUAGGGGCUUGUAGCUCAGUUGGUUAGAGCGCGCGCUUGAUAAGCGUGAGGUCGGAAGUUCAAGUCUUCCCAGGCCCACCAUUUUGAUCGAGUGCGGAGCAUUCGUCUUCUGGUACGGGGCCAUAGCUCAGCUGGGAGAGCGCGUGCUUUGCAAGCAUGAGGUCGUCGGUUCGAUCCCGUCUGGCUCCACCAGAUGGAAUUGAAGCUCGAGUAUGCCUCGUCAAUAUCGUCCGCGAAACAUCACUUCGCACUCAUUGGUCCGGAUGGACGGUGACGUGCGUGUUUUCUGACAUCGUAAAGAGGAGAUCGAUCCGAGUUUGGAUCAAGCGAAGCAAUUCGCCUGAGCCAUUCAUUAUCUCCGGGAUCAUUUCGGCGCUCGCGCAUCGCAGUUCAUCGCAAGAUGAGUGAGGUGAGCGGGUUGUAAAUGAUCCCUUUUAGCGAAGCUUGACCGCCUCGCUAUCGGGCCGAUCUUACGAAGCAAGCUGGUCUUUCUAGUCAAUGUCCGGCUGUGCAAUCGCAUUCAUCGAGGAUGCGCGCCUGAGACUUCGGUCUUUGGGCAAUUGUGCAGACAACAUUCUGCCGAGUGUGUGGACAUUGAUAAUGAGAGCAAUCAAGUGCCUUAAGGGUGUUCGGUGGAUGCCUUGGCGCUGAGAGGCGAUGAAGGACGUGCUACGCUGCGAUAAGCCG